GAUGAACGCUGGCGGCGCGCCUAAUACAUGCAAGUCGAGCGAAUGGAUUAAGAGCUUGCUCUUAUGAAGUUAGCGGCGGACGGGUGAGUAACACGUGGGUAACCUGCCCAUAAGACUGGGAUAACUCCGGGAAACCGGGGCUAAUACCGGAUAACAUUUUGAACCGCAUGGUUCGAAAUUGAAAGGCGGCUUCGGCUGUCACUUAUGGAUGGACCCGCGUCGCAUUAGCUAGUUGGUGAGGUAACGGCUCACCAAGGCAACGAUGCGUAGCCGACCUGGAAGGGUGAUCGGCCAAACUGGGACUGAGCAACGGCCCAGACGCCUACGGGAGGCAGCAGUAGGGAAUCUUCCGCAAUGGACGAAAGUCUGACGGAUCAACGCCGCGUGAGUGAUGAAGGCUUUCGGGUCGUAAAACUCUGUUGUUAGGGAAGAACAAGUGCUAGUUGAAUAAGCUGGCACCUUGACGGUACCUAACCAGAAAGCCACGGCUAACUACGUGCCAGCCGCCGCCGUAA
rnacentral:rRNA from 1 species